GCGAAUUGCGUGCAGGGAGCGGCGGGAAUAGGUAGGGGGAAAGCGUUAAUCGGAAUUAUGGGGCGGAAAGCGUUGGCAGGCGGUUAUGUAAGGCAGCGGUGGAAUCCCCGGGCGCAACCUGGGAAAGGAAUUUGUGACGGUAUAGCUAGAGUACGGCAGAGGGGGAUGGAAUUCCGCGUGUAGCAGUGAAAUGCGUAGAUAUGCGGAGGAACACCGAUGGCGAAGGCAAUCCCCUGGGCCUGUACUGACGCUCAUGCACGAAAGCGUGGGGAGCAAACAGGAUUAGAUACCCCAGUAGUC
rnacentral:rRNA from 1 species